rnacentral:rRNA from 1 species
UACGUAGGGUGCGAGCGUUAAUCGGAAUUACUGGGCGUAAAGCGUGCGCAGGCGGUUAUAUAAGACCGUUGUGAAAUCCCCGGGCUCAACCUGGGAAUUGCAUCUGUGACUGUAUAGCUAGAGUACGGUAGAGGGGGAUGGAAUUCCGCGUGUAGCAGUGAAAUGCGUAGAUAUGCGGAGGAACACCGAUGGCGAAGGCAAUCCCCUGGACCUGUACUGACGCUCAUGCACGAAAGCGUGGGGAGCAAACAGG